GAUUAACGCUGGCGGCGUGCCUAACACAUGCAAGUCGAACGAGGUAGCAAUACCUAGUGGCAGACGGGUGAGUAACGCGUGGUCAACCUACCGUUGAGUGGGGGAUAACUAGCCGAAAGGUUAGCUAAUACCGCAUACGUCUCCGAGGGGCAUCCCUUGGCGAUAAAAGGAGCAAUCCGCUCGAUGACGGGACCGCGUCCCAUUAGCUAGAUGGUGGGGUAACGGCCUACCAUGGCACCGANGGGGUAGCUGGUUUGAGAGAGCGACCAGCCACACUGGGACUGAGAAACGGCCCAGACUCCUACGGGAGGCAGCAGUGAGGAAUUUUCCGCAAUGGGCGCAAGCCUGACGGAGCGACGCCGCGUGUGGGAAGAAGCCUCGGUCGUAACC
rnacentral:rRNA from 1 species